rnacentral:rRNA from 1 species
GGAGGAAAGUAGGGGAUCGAAAGACCUUGCGCUUAAGGAGCGGCCGAUGUCUGAUUAGCUAGUUGGUGGGGUAAAGGCCUACCAAGGCGACGAUCAGUAGUUGGUCUGAGAGGACGACCAACCACACUGGGACUGAGACACGGCCCAGACUCUACGGGAGGCAGCAGUGGGGAAUUUUGGACAAUGGGCGCAAGCCUGAUCCAGCCAUGCCGCGUGGGUGAAGAAGGCUUCGGGUUGUAAAGCUCUUUCAGUUGGGAAGAAACGAUUACAACUAAUAAUUGUAAUUAAUGACGGUACCGACAGAAGAAGCACCGGCUAACUACGUGCCAGCAGCCGCGGUAAUACGUAGGGUGCGAGCGUUAAUCGGAAUUACUGGGCGUAAAGGGUGCGCAGGCGGUUUUGUAAGUCAGAUGUGAAAUCCCCGGGCUUAACCUGGGAAUGGCGUUUGAAACUGCAAGGCUAGAGUGUAGCAGAGGGGAGUGGAAUUCCGCGUGUAGCAGUGAAAUGCGUAGAUAUGCGGAGGAACACCGAUGGCGAAGGCAGCUCCCUGGGCUAACACUGACGCUCAUGCACG